UACGGGGGGGGUAAGCGUUGUUCGGAAUCACUGGGCGUAAAGGGUGCGUAGGCGGGUCUUUUAAGUCAGGGGUGAAAUCCUGGAGCUCAACUCCAGAACUGCCUUUGAUACUGAGGAUCUUGAGUUCGGGAGAGGUGAGUGGAACUGCGAGUGUAGAGGUGAAAUUCGUAGAUAUUCGCAAGAACACCAGUGGCGAAGGCGGCUUACUGGUCCGGUUCUGACGCUGAGGCGCGAAAGCGUGGGGAGCAAACAGG
rnacentral:rRNA from 1 species